GGGGAAAAAUUAAUAAUUUAAUUAUAAUAAAAUAAUUUUUAAUAGAAUAUAUUUAAUGGGGGUUAAAGUAUAUUUUUGUGAAAAAAUUAAAAAUUUUAUAGUGUAAUAGUAUUGUAAAAGAAAUUUGAAAUAUUUGAAAAUAAAAUUAAUAAAAAGUAAAUUUUAUUUAUUGUAUCUUGUGUAUCAGAGUUUAUUAAAAAUUAUUUUUAAUAAAAAAUUUCUCGAAUUUAAAAGAGUUAAUUAUUUAUUAAAGUUAAUGUUGUAUAAUUAUUUUUAAUAAAUAAUUGGAAAUGAAAUGUUAAUCGUUUUUAAAUAUAUCUAGUUUUUUUAGAAAAAAAUUUAAUUUUAAAUGUAAAAUAAAAAAAAAUUAUUUGAAUAAUAUUUUUUUUUUACAUUAAAUAUUUUAGGGGAUAAGCUUUAAAAUAAAAUUUUAUAAUAAAAUUAAUUUAUUUAAAAUUUUUAAAAUUUAUAUUGUUUAUAAAUUAUAAUUUUUUAUAAAUAAUUUUAAUUAAAUAUAAAAUUUAAUUUUUAUUAUUUAAAUUUUUAUAAAAAAAAUAAUUUUUAAUUAAAUAAAAUUAAAUAUAAUGAUAAAAUUAGUAUAUAAUAAUAAUAAUAAUAAUAAAAUUAUAAGAAUUUAAUAAAAGGAAUUCGGCAAAUUUAUAUAUUCACUUGUUUAUCAAAAACAUGUCUUUUUGAGUUUAAUUUAAAGUCUAGUCUGCCCACUGAUUUAAAAUAAUUAAAGGGCUGCAGUAUUUUGACUGUACAAAGGUAGCAUAAUCAUUAGUCUCUUAAUUGGUGACUUGUAUGAAGGAUUUGAUGAAAUAUAAACUGUCUCUUAUUAAUUUAUAAAAUUUAAUUUUUUAGUAAAAAAGCUAAAAUAAUUUUAAAAGACGAGAAGACCCUAUAGAGUUUUAUAAUAAAUUUAAUUAUAUUUUUUAUAUAAAUAUUUUAUUUUUAAUAAAAUUUAUUAUUUUAUUGGGGUGAUAGAAAAAUUUAAUAAACUUUUUUUAAAAAUAAAACAUAAAUAAGUGAAUGUAUGAUCCGUUAUUAACGAUUAUAAGAAUAAAUUACCUUAGGGAUAACAGCGUAAUUUUUUUUUUUAGUUCAAAUAAAAAAAAAAGUUUGCGACCUCGAUGUUGGAUUAAGAUAAAAUUUAAAUGCAAAAGUUUAAAAUUUUGAUCUGUUCGAUCAUUAAAAUCUUACAUGAUCUGAGUUCAAACCGGUGUAAGCCAGGUUGGUUUCUAUCUUUAGAAAAUUAAAAUAUUUUAGUACGAAAGGAUCAAAUAUUUAAAAUAAUUUUAUUAAAAGAAUAAUAAUAAAUAGUUUAUAA
rnacentral:rRNA from 1 species